CAAAUUUUCAACUGUGCAUUUAUUGGCCUGGGCUUAGACAUAUUAAAAAGCAACACUUACUGAGAACAUAACAUAACCAGACAUUUCUGCCAGGUGCUGUUAGGUAAAGAAAAAAUAUGGACCUCUAUCUCAAAGAGUUUAUAUCCUAGUUUACAACUAAUUGGCAAACACUGUAAGCACACACCAAGAAGAAGCACAGUGGUACAGAGGCAAGAGUGACAGACUCUGUCUGGGGAUCAGGGAGGGAUUCAUGUAAACAAGGGGUAGAGGGUCAAUCCUCUAUUUCCGGGUUGGUGGAUGGUGGUACCAACAAUUAAGAUAGAGAAUCCAGGAAACCAAGCUUGAUGGCAUUAGAAAGAUUUCUUGUAAAAAGAGGCAAGGUUAUCUACAGACUCCUGGAAAGGAUGGUGACAGAAUUGAAGAGACUGUUAGCUUACCAGGAAAAGAAACUGCUAGUCAAAGAGAAUAACUUUUCCAGAUAUAGACCACAUUUUGUUCACAAUUAUAAGAACAGCUCUGUUUUCCUUUUAAAAUCUCCAAACAAACCCCUUGCUCAUCCUGCCUGUAUUUUUCUCUAUUUAUGAUCAAUAACAUGGUCAUCACUGUGAAAUCAUUCAUGUUUUUUUUUUUGAGACGGAGUCUCGCUGUGUUGCCCAGGCUGGAGUGCAGUGGUGCCAUCUUGGCUCACCGCAAGCUCCACCUCCCGGGUUCACGCCAUUCUCCUGCCUCAGCCUCCAGAGUAGCUGGGACUAUAGGCGCCUGCCACCAUGCCCGGCUAAUUUUUUGUACUUUUAGUACAGACAGGGUUUCAACGUGUUAGCCAGAUGGUCUCGAACUCCUGACCUCAGGUGAUCCGCCUGCCUUGGCCUCCCAAAGUACUGGGAAUACAGGCAUGAGCCACUGUGCCUGGUGGAAAUCAUUCAUGUUUAUAAAGAUUUAAACUUUAUAAAAGUUUAAAGUUUAGAUAGAAAAGGAACUUCAUGUUUGACAGUUCAUGUCAGUUUAAGAAAUAAAGUUAGAGGGCAGAUACAUUUCAGGAGGAGCAAAAUACUCCUCAUUCUGCACCUUUUUCAAAUCUUUCCUACAAUUCUUCCCUCUUUGGGGAAGACAAAUCUAAUCCUUCAAAUUUUUCCUAGAGCAGCAAGGGCAAAGAAAAAAAAAAAGAUAAUUAGAUUGGAGCAAGGCAAAAUUAAAGUACGGAGGUGUCUCAAUAACAAGAACCCCCAAAACAAGUAAACACUAAGUAGUGCUAUUAACAUAGGCAUAAGACCAAACAUUGCAGUCAACCACAAAUACAGGUACAAACAAGCUAUUAUUUCCCUGUAUCUUUUUCCCGGCUCCAAUUCAAAGUUCAUUUUGUGUUGUUUUUACUUUUCUUUUGGUGGGUCCCAGGAGAAGAGAACCAGAGGCUCUAGGGGAAGGUAAAAUAAUCCAAAGUAUAUGACCCAAUAUCAUACGCACACUCAGACGCACCAGUCAGCAAUACAUUGCCCAGAACCAUCCUCAAUGUGUAGGCUCCUACCCUAUGAUUCAAGACACACAACCCUGAGAAUGUGUUUUAAGGAACCAAGACAAAUAACACUCCCAUCCUUCCACUUUUGCCCCGCUUCUACCAUGACCAAGCAAAAUCGAUUUGAACAUUCAUGUUCCAGGCACUUUAUCUGCAUUAUCAUCACAUUUAAUGUUGUGAAGGAGGUGUUAUCAUUAUUUUACAGAUGAGGAAACUCAAGCAUAGAGAUGCUGACAGACUUAUCUGAGGUCAUAUUAU
rnacentral:lncRNA from 1 species